UACGAAGGGGACUAGCGUUGUUCGGAAUUACUGGGCGUAAAGCGCGCGUAGGCGGAUCGCUAAGUCAGGGGUGAAAUCCCAGGGCUCAACCCUGGAACUGCCUUUGAUACUGACGAUCUGGAGAUCGGGAGAGGUUGGUGGAAUUCCGAGUGUAGAGGUGAAAUUCGUAGAGAUCGGGAGGAACAUCAGUUGCGAAGGCGGCUCUCUGGACCAGCACUGACACUGAGGCACGAAAGCGUGGGGAGCGAACAGG
rnacentral:rRNA from 1 species